CGCUGGCGGCAUGCUUUACACAUGCAAGUCGAACGGUAACAGGGAGCUUGCUCCGCUGACGAGUGGCGAACGGGUGAGUAAUAUAUCGGAACGUACCCAAGAGUGGGGGAUAACGUAGCGAAAGUUACGCUAAUACCGCAUACGAUCUAUGGAUGAAAGCAGGGGACCGCAAGGCCUUGUGCUCCUGGAGCGGCCGAUAUCUGAUUAGCUAGUUGGUGAGGUAAAGGCUCACCAAGGCAACGAUCAGUAGCUGGUCUGAGAGGACGACCAGCCACACUGGAACUGAGACACGGUCCAGACUCCUACGGGAGGCAGCAGUGGGGAAUUUUGGACAAUGGGCGCAAGCCUGAUCCAGCAAUGCCGCGUGAGUGAAGAAGGCCUUCGGGUUGUAAAGCUCUUUUGUCAGGGAAGAAACGGGAGUGGCUAAUAUCUGCUUCUAAUGACGGUACCUGAAGAAUAAGCACCGGCU
rnacentral:rRNA from 1 species